GCCGGCGUAGCUCAGUUGGUUAGAGCGACGGACUCAUAAGCCGUAGGCCGGAAGUUCGAUCCUUCCCGCCGGCA
rnacentral:tRNA from 1 species